UGCUUCCUGACACGUGAGGAGGUGGUUCUGGUGACUCCUGCCUCUUUACGAUCUAGGAGCGGUGGACCCCGACCGAGCUGUGAUUCUGGUCCUGUGGCAUUAAAAGCUAAGUCAGGCCCCAAAGUACACAGGAGGCAAGAGGAGUCCCAGGUCUGAGGUUGUUGGAGACCACGGGGAGGGAGGAGAGCUUUCCGCUAGGGAGGCGAUGGCUCAGCAAAUGUCAUCAGGACAGUCUCGGGGUGAACUUGGAGUGAAGGGAGGUGACCAGGAGCAGUGGCUGGUGGAACGUGACAGGCACUGUCCGGGGAGAGGGAUCUGGGUCACCUCUGUAGAUCCUCACAGCAGCCUCUCCUGCUGGCAUUACGAUCCCAUCUCGCUGGUGAAGAAAUGGCGCUCAGGGAGGGUGAGCUCACCACUCAGCUGCUACCGGGAAGAGCUGAGCUUCCUCCUGGGUCUGGUUGAGACGGUUUGAAAGGACUCUGUGGCCAGCUUCCUCCUGUGUGCCAAGCACGGGGAGCGGGUGGAGGAUGGGAGGAGGGAGGAGAGAGAAGAGAGCUGCGAGCAGUCGGUGUGGCUAAGGGCUUCCCUGCUCGUCUGUCUUCAGGGCGCCUGCUGAUCCCCGCCGUGCAGAGCCUGGGACUUCACGCCGGCCCUGGUGCGGCCCCGCCAGCCCCGCGCCUGCCGGGGUGGGGCGUCUGGUUCCCCGGCGCCCCACGCACGGCCCUCCACGGCUUCCUGCACUCUUUUCAGAACAGUUAAAUGUGAUCCAACUGGGCGUCCCAGAAACAAAGAAUUUAAGAUCAAUUACCCACCUAACAGAUAUCUCAACCCCAUUUUCAGUGGCCAAUUCCUCAUACCAAGUGGGAGGAGACAUUUGCUUUUGUUUGAAAGCAAAAUAUUCAUUAGGUCCUAAAGGAGACCCUCCAGAGACUCUUGGCUGAACAAAGAGGAGGUGCUUUGCAGAGGACUGAUAUUCUCACCCUGACAAAGAAGGAUGUGUGUCCAUGGAGAAGGGUGGUGCGUGGGCCUAAAAAUAUUGCCUGAAUCAAACAAACAACCAAACAUAAAAAUGGACAGUCAAGAAGGAUGAACCCGUUGCUAUUGGAUGAACCCAGUAAAGCUGAUAAGAUACACUCUUGCCUGCCGUCUCCAUGGGCUGCUCCCCGUGCAGUGGAGUGACGUGUAAAUCCUUCCCAGAGGGCCCACCCCACAGCAUCCUGUAAAGUGUGAACAUGGCUUUAAUUCAGCUGAAGUUUACAAAUGAUCUUGCUGUAUACAUUAGCCUGGUUUGCACUGACUGGACACUCAACUGUGCAGAGUUUGUGUUAUAUCUGGAAUGAGGCCCUGACACCAAGAAUUUUUGUCUGUGAAUUUAGUCUUGAAUUUUGGCAAUUUUCUCCAUAGACACUUCACAAGAACAGCCUUUGUGUUACUGCCAAGUACUGAGUGCAUCUUGAAAUGCACUUGAACCUUAUGAGCUACGUGCCUUCUCUCUGCAGAUCUGUGUGUAGAUGACAUAAACAUGCGUGUCUGAGGAGGGUGAGUCAAGGCAGGUGCUCUGUAGUUUGGCUCAGAGUACAGUUCUGGGGAUCACUUAAAAUUUUUUUUCCUGGAUUUUAUUGCAAAGAUUUUUGUCAUUAUGAUUGUUUGGAUUUUAGUUUUGGUUUUGGUUUUGGCGUCUCCACCUGCAUGUCAUCCUUCUGUUAGGACUUGUUCACUCCAUGAAAGCACGGCUGGCGUGUGUAAGCUGGAGCCCAGGGAGUCCCACCAUGACCUGACCUGGGGUGGGUCGCCCAGCCCUCCAGGGCUCCAGUGUUCCCAGUCAUAUUCUUUUCAUCCACAAGUCCAGCCAAGGAUGACCAAGGAUGUGCUAUGAAUCAGGGCUGCUCUAGGAACAGGGGGUAUAAAGAUAAAAGUGUCAUCUUUUUCAAGCCUCUUGGUUCAGGGGCAGAGAUAGUUUGGCAUCACACCAUCUUCACCCUAAUGCAGGAAGACCCCGAGGACACAGGUGAGGUGACAGCCCAAGUGGACAGGACCCCUUCAAGCCAGUUCUGAGAGCCUCCUCCAGAGAAGGCAGGGUGACCGAAAUUGUUUUCAGAGUAGGUGGGAGCUCUAGCCCCCUGUUCAGGAUUUCUUCAGCAAAGAAUUUGUUUGCUCACUGACUGGCUUCUCUUCCCUUCAGUGGGUGCAGAAGACCCCCGCCUCCCCCCGGAAGUCACGGGCAUCUGGAGUCAGGAAAGACGGACUCCCAGUGCGCGAAGGAGCCCCAGUCACUGCCACCAUCAGGACAGUGGAUUUAUUCCUCCCUCUGCCUUGUUAAACAUAUCCCGGUGAAAGGAGAUCAGCUUUAAACCUUUACGCUUUAUUACAUCACUCCCUCUGCAAAAGCGUCUGAGGUGACCUACCCCCAAACACUCACUCACACACACACACACACCACACUCACACACACACAUACACACAACACACUCAGACACACAUACACACAACACACUCACACACACACAGACACACAACACACUCACACACACAACACACUCACACACACACAUACACACAACACACACACACAUACACACAACACACUCACACACA